rnacentral:rRNA from 1 species
GAUGAACGCUGGCGGCGUGCCUAAUACAUGCAAGUCGAGCGAACAGACGAGGAGCUUGCUCCUCUGACGUUAGCGGCGGACGGGUGAGUAACACGUGGACAACCUACCUAUAAGACUGGGAUAACUUCGGGAAACCGGAGCUAAUACCGGAUAAUAUAUUGAACCGCAUGGUUCAAUAGUGAAAGACGGUUUUGCUGUCACUUAUAGAUGGAUCCGCGCCGCAUUAGCUAGUUGGUAAGGUAACGGCUUACCAAGGCAACGAUGCGUAGCCGACCUGAGAGGGUGAUCGGCCACACUGGAACUGAGACACGGUCCAGACUCCUACGGGAGGCAGCAGUAGGGAAUCUUCCGCAAUGGGCGAAAGCUUGACGGAGCAACGCCGCGUGAGUGAUGAAGGUCUUCGGAUCGUAAAACUCUGUUAUUAGGGAAGAACAAAUGUGUAAGUAACUAUGCACGUCUUGACGGUACCUAAUCAGAAAGCCACGGCUAACUACGUG